AUUGAACGCUGGCGGCGGGCCUAACACAUGCAAGUCGGACGGUAGCACAGAGAGCUUGCUCUCGGGUGACGAGUGGCGGACGGGUGAGUAAUGUCUGGGGAUCUGCCCGAUAGAGGGGGAUAACCACUGGAAACGGUGGCUAAUACCGCAUAACGUCGCAAGACCAAAGAGGGGGACCUUCGGUCCUCUCACUAUCGGAUGAACCCAGAUGGGAUUAGCUAGUAGGCGGGGUAAUGGCCCACCUAGGCGACGAUCCCUAGCUGGUCUGAGAGGGUGACCAGCCACACUGGAACUGAGACACGGUCCAGGCUCCUACGGGAGGCAGCAGUGGGGAAUAUUGCACAAUGGGCGCAAGCCUGAUGCAGCCAUGCCGCGUGUAUGAAGAAGGCCUUCGGGUUGUAAAGUACUUUCAGCGGGGAGGAAGGCGAUGUGGUUAAUAACCGCGUCGAUUGACGUUACCCGCAGAAGAAGCACCGGCUAACUCCGUGCCAGCAGCCGCAGUAA
rnacentral:rRNA from 1 species